AUACAGGCACUCAAACUACAGCAGCGAGUGAGACUACAGCUACCACUGAUGAGCCUCUGACCUCUACGCCGAUCAGGCCACGGCCAGCUAAAAAGCCUUGGUUAGCUGUGGAGGAGGAAGACGAAGGGGAAGACUCCUCAGUGAUCCCGCCACCACUUGACUCCACAUAUGAGCCUGACUAAACAAUGACAGAUGUAUCGGAGUCCUCAAAGAUUCUGUAAGUGUUGAUGGUUUAUUUUUCCAUACAAAAACAAAAUGACAACUGACUACUUAAGAAAACUCAAAACAUCAUUUCUCCCAUCAUUUCUCUUCCACAGCGCCACCACCACACCUCACUACACGGAUGC